rnacentral:rRNA from 1 species
GUGCCUACGGGGGGCAGCAGUGGGGAAUAUUGCACAAUGGGGGAAACCCUGAUGCAGCGACGCCGCGUGAGUGAUGAAGUAUUUCGGUAUGUAAAGCUCUAUCAGCAGGGAAGAUAAUGACGGUACCUGACUAAGAAGCUCCGGCUAAAUACGUGCCAGCAGCCGCGGUAAUACGUAUGGAGCAAGCGUUAUCCGGAUUUACUGGGUGUAAAGGGAGCGCAGACGGCAGGGCAAGUCUGAUGUGAAAGUCCGGGGCUCAACCCCGGGACUGCAUUGGAAACUGUCCGGCUAGAGUGCAGGAGAGG